CCGCUUCGGGAUGGCCUCGCGGCCUAUCAGCUAGUUGGUGGGGUAACGGCCCACCAAGGCGACGACGGGUAGCUGGUCUGAGAGGAUGUCCAGCCACACUGGGACUGAGACACGGCCCAG
rnacentral:rRNA from 1 species